rnacentral:tRNA from 44 species
GGACAGGUGGCCGAGUGGUUUAAGGCUCUGGUCUUGAAAACCAGCGUACGGGAAACCGUACCGUGGGUUCGAAUCCCACCCUGUCCGCCA